rnacentral:rRNA from 1 species
UACGUAGGGUGCGAGCGUUAAUCGGAAUUACUGGGCGUAAAGCGUGCGCAGGCGGUCUGUUAAGACCGAUGUGAAAUCCCCGGGCUUAACCUGGGAACUGCAUUGGUGACUGGGCAGGCUUUGAGUGUGGCAGAGGGAGGUAGAAUUCCACGUGUAGCAGUGAAAUGCGUAGAGAUGUGGAGGAAUACCGAUGGCGAAGGCAGCCUCCUGGGCCAACACUGACGCUCAUGCACGAAAGCGUGGGGAGCAAACAGG